rnacentral:rRNA from 1 species
UACGUAGGGGCGAGCGUUGUCCGGAAUGAUUGGGCGUAAAGGGCGCGUAGGCGGCUUGUUAAGUCUGGAGUGGAAGUCCUCUUUUCAAGGGAGGAAUUGCUUUGGAAACUGGCGGGCUUGAGUGCAGGAGAGGUUAUCGGAAUUCCCGGUGUAGCGGUGUAAUGCGUAGAGAUCGGGAGGAACACCAGUUGCGAAGGCGGCUCUCUGGACUGUAACUGACACUGAGGCACGAAAGCGUGGGGAGCAAACAGGAUUAGAUACCCGCGUAGUCCCUGAG